UUCCAAAAAUGAAAUCUUAAAGAAUUGUAAAUUCGAAUUAAUCGAUUAAAUCGAUUUAUCGCCCAGCUCUAUUCAGAUCUCUGAUCCGUUUUAACUAGGCUGAACUGAUCCAGCCCGGACUUUGACUAGGCCCUUCACACAUUUAAAGGUUUCCCCUUAAAUCCCUCCAGAGACGCUUUGGGCCGUUGUCCUGCUGGAAGAUGACCCUCUGUCCCAGCCUCAGGUCCCAGGUAGCGGUUCUGAUCCAGACUAUCCCUGUAUUUAGCUCCAUCCAUCGGACCCUCGACUCUGUCCGGUUUCCCAGAACCCGGUCACUGGGCUGUUCGUCUAGCUAAUAACAGCUAGCGUUAGCUUAUGUUGUCCGGAAGGUUUACAGCUUAGCUGGCGCUGAUGUUCUGGGGCUUAACUGGCCUUUUUCAACGUUGCUGUCACACAUCCGUGUCGUACCGUUAGCUUAGCACGUAGCGCUGUAGCGUUAACGGUCUAAUUUCAGUGUAAUGUUGACGACUUUCAGCGUGACGGGCCGCUGCACAGAAACGCGCUGACGAGAACCCUGGUUUGGACCAGACAGCGUUUUCAUUGGUGGCUGAAGAGUUCAGUUUUGGUCUCAUCUGGCCAGAGCGCCUUCCUCCAUACUCAUAGGGAGCUGCCCAAGUGCCUUUUGGCAAACUCAAUUUAUUUUUAGCCCACAGUAGUCUUUUUCUGGCCUCUCCUCCAUGAAGCCCAGCUCCUUGGUCUUCGUGGCGCUUGGUGCUGCUGCACCUCUGGAUGCUUUCAGGACAGGUGUGUUCACCUACAGGUCAUGUGACCCUUAGAUCUCACACAGGUGGACUUCAUUUCACUAACUAUGGGACUUUUGAAGGUAAUUAGCUUUCUUUUUUAUUUUCACCUUACAAACUUAAGACUAUUUUGUUCAGAUCAGUCUCAUAAAAUACGAGUGAAAACAUUUAAAUUAUAAGCUGGAAUGUAAGAAAAUGGGUGAGAAGCUAAGAGGGGGUGAAUACAUUUGCAAGGCGCUGUAGAUUAACUGUCUCUAUUGCCUUUUGAAAAACACAAAUGCACAUUUUUAAGAAGCUAUAUUUACUUAUUCCACCACCACGUACGCUACGGCGGGCGUGGAAUCAGCUUUCAUUCUCCUCGGCUUCAGCUGCUGAUCCGCAGGAAUUCAGUCCCAAACUGCUGAGAGGCAUCGGUUUCGGGGAGCUUCGGGAUUUCGUUUAGACACUGUAGCAAUUCCUCACCCCUGCUGUCAGCGAGCAGAGGGCAACGGAGGGGUGGGAAGGGAGUGGAGACGGGUAAAGAGAAAGAAGACAGCAAAAAGAAGGAGCGGAGCCAAGCCAAGUGAUCGGACUCGGCUCCAUCUCAUCUCAUCCGGUUCAUUAGCCGCACGCCUCUUCCCCAACGACGAGUCGACGCCUUUUAUCGACUCCAGGGACCCGAUGAGGGGGCUUCAAUGGCUGCGUGAUGAGAUAAACAGGUUCACCGCCUGCGACCCAACACAGAAGAAACCGGCUCCAACUGAAACCCUGCAGAGACGCUCUCAUCAGCGAGGCGUCACACGGCGUCAACCUGCCAUCAAAACGAGCGAACACGAGGCGAAGCGGCGGGGCGUUUGAAGCUGACCCGUCAGCAGCCGUCAGUCUGGACUCGGCAGCGCCGCCCGGGACGGUGACGGCAUGCUGGGAGCAAAGUUCACGUCCAGCCGGACUGACAGGAACAGAGGAGAUGGCGACAGACGGGGAGAACGACACGUG